AUUGAACGCUGGCGGCAGGCCUAACACAUGCAAGUCGAACGAGUGGCGGACGGGUGAGUAAUGUCUGGGAAACUGCCCGAUGGAGGGGGAUAACUACUGGAAACGGUAGCUAAUACCGCAUACCAUCGGAUGUGCCCAGAUGGGAUUAGCUAGUAGGUGGGGUAACGGCUCACCUAGGCGACGAUCCCUAGCUGGUCCGAGAGGAUGACGAGCCACACGGGAACUGAGACACGGUCCAGACUCCUACGGGAGGCAGAAGGGGGGAAUAUUGCACAAUGGGCGCAAGCCUGAUCCAGCCAUGCCGCGGGUGUGAAGAAGGUCUUCGGAUUGUAAAGCACUUUAAGUUGUGAGGCGUUACCAACAGAAUAAGCACCGGCUAACUUCGUGCCAGCCGCCGCGGUAAUUC
rnacentral:rRNA from 1 species